ensembl:lncRNA
AUCGUAUCUGUGCACAAUGCACUUUGGCUUUGGGAAAAUCUAUAAUCCCCCUCUAAGAAGGGGGGCGAUGGGCCGGGGGGGUUAUACGCUGCUUCGACACUGUUUUUCUGUUGUUGUUGUUGCAGACGAGGUACAGACGGAAUUGAUUUGGGAUGCUAUCUGGCUAUUUCGGUGCAGUGUGUGUUCCCCCAAGGAUCCGAUCUGGGGAUGUUGUUCAAAUGCAUGUGGUGUAGUCUUCCCACAUGACAAAGGUGUUAACAGUGAAGCUUAUCAAUCGGUUGUAAAAAUAAACAAUUAGCAUAAAGGAAAUGCUGUAUUUGUACCUCUUCCAUGCGUUUCACUUCUUCCAUACCAUCUUCCUAUUGGUGGCUUUAGACGAGUUGAAAAGCAGUAGUGAGAUUUUAAUUCAAAUACUCUGCACUCUGCCAGAAGUAUCAGUAAAUCAGCUGCUGAUGAUAGCUGUAGUCAUGUGUACAAAGGCGAGAAGAAAUAAAGGGAACUAUGGCCACUGAUGAUACCAUUUUACAGCGUCCUGUGGUCACCAUGUGACCUUGUGCUAAAGGUUUCUACGUGUGUGCUCACGUACACAAGAAGUUAUCCAGAUGUUCAAACAGCACCCUUGGUGGUUAGAAGGGGUGAAAUAGAGCUGAAAGUCAAAGCCCUCGCAGUGGAACAUCCUGAUCGAAAUAAUACGACUGAAUCCAUGACACGUCGUAUAAGGGGAUGUGGUAAUCAGACAGAAGUUGACCCCAAAAAUCUUGAGGUAGGAAAAAUGAUAUGUGCUUUGGUUAGUAGUUUCAUAAGUUUGCAGCAUGAUUCGGCUUCAUUGGGACACAGUGAAGGAAUAUAAUGGUUCACGAAGCAGUUGGAGGGAAGAGGCUGGACGUAUGCAGUUGGAUGUAAGUGGUCAGACAUAUGUGGUUGGACGUAUGCAGAUGGACGUAUGGACUCAUGAAACCCAUCAAUAUGGUUGAAUAAUGCAUGUAUGGAUUUUAUCUGCAUUAAAUUUUUUUUAUCGGUCUUGUAUAUGCAAUGCAAAUUGUGUUACAAAUGACCAAACAUAUCAUUAAACAUGAGUUUCAGUCAGUCCUGACAAAAAGGGUGAGCCGUGUUUCUUUAGCAUAUGAUAUCGAUAUUUUUCCUUCACCGGUAGACCGUCAACACUUUUAAGAAAUCCUCUAUGAGUUGGCUUAGCAUUUCCCAUGAUUGAAUUUUCUACCCUUUGGCUGUGGUUAUUAGGAAGCAGGGGGUUUAGUAGGUGUGUUCCAGGCACAGAACUGCAACAUCAAUUUAUACCACUGAUAAGUGCUAUACUACUAGUUCGAGAAGAUGGUUAUUCUGCACAUACACGUGUAUAUGUAGUCACGCUGCCUCGAUGUGCUCCUGGUACUGUCAGACCUUCACUACAGACGUAUAAAUGCCACAGAUUUGUGUGUUGAGAAUAUGGCCCUGGCAAUCAUCCCUAUGCCGAACCAAAACCAUAGCAAUGCGACUGCUUUUCACUCACGCACAGAUGCAUUCCAAAAAAUGUAAAAAAAACCUGGCCCGUGCAAGCGCAUAAUGAUUUCUACAUCUGCAGAGCACAAGACUGGAACAUGACUUACAGAUCACUGUAAGCUUUAACGUUUCGUCUAAUCGUUGCCGUUAACCGCAGAGCAUUUGUUAUUACACAUGCUAAUAAAUACUACUAACAUGACUAACUAAUUCCUGUUAACUAAU